rnacentral:rRNA from 1 species
GACGAACGCUGGCGGCGUGCUUAACACAUGCCAGUCGAACGGAAAGGCCCUGCUUUUGUGGGGUGCUCGAGUGGCGAACGGGUGAGUAACACGUGAGUAACCUGCCCUUGACUUUGGGAUAACUUCAGGAAACUGGGGCUAAUACCGGAUAGGAGCUCCUGCUGCAUGGUGGGGGGUGGAAAGUUUCGGCGGUUGGGGAUGGACUCGCGGCUUAUCAGCUUGUUGGUGGGGUAGUGGCUUACCAAGGCUUUGACGGGUAGGCGGCCUGAGAGGGUGACCGGCCACAUUGGGACUGAGAUACGGCCCAGACUCCUACGGGAGGCAACGGUGGGGAGUAUUGCACAAUGGGCGGAAGCCUGAUGCAGCAACGCCGCGUGCGGGAUGACGGCCUUCGGGUUGUAAACCGCUUUCGCCUGUGACGAAGCGUGAGUGACGGUAAUGGGUAAAGAAGCACCGGCUAACUACGUG